rnacentral:rRNA from 1 species
ACGGAAGGCAGCAGUCGGGAAUAUUGUGCAAUGGAGGAAACUCUGACGCAGGGACGCCGCGUAUAGGAAGAAGGUUUUCGGAUUGUAAACUAUUGUCGUGUGGGAAGAAAUUUGACAGUACCACAGGAGGAAGCUCCGGCUAACUAUGUGCCAGCAGCCGCGGUAAUACAUAGGGAGCAAGCGUUAUCCGGAUUUAUUGGGUGUAAAGGGUGCGUAGACGGAGAAGCAAGUUAGUAGUGAAAUCCCUCGGCUUAACUGCGGAACUGCUUCUAAAACUGCUUCCCUUGAGUGUUGGAGAGGAAAGUGGAAUUCCUAGUGUAGCGGUGAAAUGCGUAGAUAUUAGGAGGAACAUCAGUGGCGAAGGCGGCUUUCUGGACAAUUACUGACGUUGAGGCACGAAAGUGUGGGGAGCAAACAGGAUUAGAUACCCUGGUA